GGGAUCAGGUAAGGGUGAAAGGGUGCGGUAAGAGCGCACCGCGCGGCUGGUAACAGUCCGUGGCACGGUAAACUCCACCCGGAGCAAGGCCAAAUAGGGGUUCAUAAGGUACGGCCCGUACUGAACCCGGGUAGGCUGCUUGAGCCAGUGAGCGAUUGCUGGCCUAGAUGAAUGACUGUCCACGACAGAACCCGGCUUAUCGGUCAGUUUCACCU
rnacentral:RNase_P_RNA from 4 species